GCUUGCAUCAUGAUUUACAUUUGAGUGAGUGGCGAACUGGUGAGUAACACGUGGGAAACCUGCCCAGAAGCGGGGGAUAACACCUGGAAACAGAUGCUAAUACCGCAUAACAACUUGGACCGCAUGGUCCGAGUUUGAAAGAUGGCUUCGGCUAUCACUUUUGGAUGGUCCCGCGGCGUAUUAGCUAGAUGGUGGGGUAACGGCUCACCAUGGCAAUGAUACGUAGCCGACCUGAGAGGGUAAUCGGCCACAUUGGGACUGAGACACGGCCCAAACUCCUACGGGAGGCAGCAGUAGGGAAUCUUCCACAAUGGACGAAAGUCUGAUGGAGCAACGCCGCGUGAGUGAAGAAGGGUUUCGGCUCGUAAAACUCUGUUGUUAAAGAAGAACAUAUCUGAGAGUAACUGUUCAGGUAUUGACGGUAUUUAACCAGAAAGCCACGGCUAACUACGUGCCAGCAGCCGCGGUAAUACGUAGGUGGCAAGCGUUGUCCGGAUUUAUUGGGCGUAAAGCGAGCGCAGGCGGUUUUUUAAGUCUGAUGUGAAAGCCUUCGGCUCAACCGAAGAAGUGCAUCGGAAACUGGGAAACUUGAGUGCAGAAGAGGACAGUGGAACUCCAUGUGUAGCGGUGAAAUGCGUAGAUAUAUGGAAGAACACCAGUGUAGAAGGCGGCUGUCUGGUCUGUAACUGACGCUGAGGCUCGAAAGUAUGGGUAGCAAACAGGAUUAGAUACCCUGGUAGUCCAUACCGUAAACGAUGAAUGCUAAGUGUUGGAGGGUUUCCGCCCUUCAGUGCUGCAGCUAACGCAUUAAGCAUUCCGCCUGGGGAGUACGGCCGCAAGGCUGAAACUCAAAGGAAUUGACGGGGGCCCGCACAAGCGGUGGAGCAUGUGGUUUAAUUCGAAGCUACGCGAAGAACCUUACCAGGUCUUGACAUACUAUGCAAAUCUAAGAGAUUAGACGUUCCCUUCGGGGACAUGGAUACAGGUGGUGCAUGGUUGUCGUCAGCUCGUGUCGUGAGAUGUUGGGUUAAGUCCCGCAACGAGCGCAACCCUUAUUAUCAGUUGCCAGCAUUAAGUUGGGCACUCUGGUGAGACUGCCGGUGACAAACCGGAGGAAGGUGGGGAUGACGUCAAAUCAUCAUGCCCCUUAUGACCUGGGCUACACACGUGCUACAAUGGAUGGUACAACGAGUUGCGAACUCGCGAGAGUAAGCUAAUCUCUUAAAGCCAUUCUCAGUUCGGAUUGUAGGCUGCAACUCGCCUACAUGAAGUCGGAAUC
rnacentral:rRNA from 2 species